UAGAAGUACAGCUUGGUUUAAAAAGAAGAAACAAAGCCAUUGCUUUGCGCCAACAAGUCUUGAACAUCCAGACCCCAGUACAGAUGCUGAUUCAUAUCAGGAAGCACAGGCAUCUACUGAAAGUCAGUCAGAUGAGGAAUUAGUACAUAGUGAGUCCAGUACUUCAUGUGAUAAAGAUGGAGAUGUUCAUACGCAAUAUGCCGAUGAUGAAGAAGAUCCAGAUUCAGAGGAAGAGUUUGAAAACAAUAGUGGAGAUCUGCCCCAUGCCCCUGAAGGUGAACCAUUGUAUCAGGGUUCGAGAUUAUCAUUACUUGAAAGUAUAGUAUUGAUAAUUACAUUUGUAUUGAGACACCAGCUCACUCGAGAAGCUACAAAGGAUCUUUUGAGCCUUUU
rnacentral:lncRNA from 1 species